AUAACUCAUUUAAUUUGAUGGGU
rnacentral:snRNA from 1 species